rnacentral:rRNA from 1 species
GUGCUGCAUGGCCGUCGUCAGCUCGUGUCGUGAGAUGUUUGGUUAAGUCCAGCAACGAGCGCAACCCCUGUUGCCAGUUACCAGCACGUGAAGGUGGGGACUCUGGCGAGACUGCCCAGAUCAACUGGGAGGAAGGUGGGGACGACGUCAGGUCAGUAUGGCCCUUAUGCCCAGGGCUGCACACGUACUACAAUGCCCAGUACAGAGGGGGCCGAAGCCGCGAGGCGGAGGAAAUCCUAAAAACUGGGCCCAGUUCGGACUGUAGGCUGCAACCCGCCUACACGAAGCCGGAAUCGCUAGUAAUGGCGCAUCAGCUACGGCGCCGUGAAUACGUUCCCGGGUCUUGUACACACCGCCCGUCACAUCAUGGAAGCCGGUCGCACCCGAAGUAUCUGAAGCCAACCGCAAGGAGGCAGGGUCCUAAGGUGAGACUGGUAACUGGGAUGAAGUCGUAACAAGGUAGCCGUAGGGGAACCUGCGGUUGGAUCACCUC